GGCAGUUCUCGGGUGAUGCACCCUGGAAUCAGGCUCCCUCCUCUCUGGUUACAGGGUGCAUCACCUGAGAACUGCU
rfam:Myotis brandtii contig313315, whole genome shotgun sequence.